rnacentral:rRNA from 1 species
AACACGUGAGUAACCUGCCCCCUUCUUUGGGAUAACGGUCGGAAACGGCUGCUAAUACCGGGUAUUCACUGUCCUUCGCAUGGGGGGUGGUGGAAAGGUUUUUUCUGGUGGGGGAUGGGCUCGCGGCCUAUCAGCUUGUUGGUGGGGUGAUGGCUUACCAAGGCUUUGACGGGUAACCGGCCUGAGAGGGUGACCGGUCACAUUGGGACUGAGAUACGGCCCAGACUCCUACGGGAGGCAGCAGUGGGGAAUAUUGCACAAUGGGCGAAAGCCUGAUGCAGCGACGCCGCGUGAGGGAUGACGGCCUUCGGGUUGUAAACCUCUUUCGCUCAUGGUCAAGCCGCAACAGUGGUUGUGGUGAGGGUAGUGGGUAAAGAAGCACCGGCUAACUACGUGCCAGCAGCCGCGGUAAUACGUAGGGUGCGGGCGUUGUCCGGAAUUAUUGGGCGUAAAGGGCUUGUAGGCGGUUUGUCGCGUCUGCCGUGAAAUCCUCUGGCUUAACUGGGGGCGUGCGGUGGGUACGGGCAGGCUUGAGUGCGGUAGGGGAGACU